rnacentral:rRNA from 1 species
GAUGAACGCUGGCGGCGUGCCUAAUACAUGCAAGUCGAGCGAACAGAUGAGGAGCUUGCUCCUCUGACGUUAGCGGCGGACGGGUGAGUAACACGUGGAUAACCUACCUAUAAGACUGGGAUAACUACGGGAAACCGGAGCUAAUACCGGAUAAUAUAUUGAACCGCAUGGUUCAAUAGUGAAAGACGGUUUUGCUGUCACUUAUAGAUGGAUCCGCGCCGCAUUAGCUAGUUGGUAAGGUAACGGCUUACCAAGGCAACGAUGCGUAGCCGACCUGAGAGGGUGAUCGGCCACACUGGAACUGAGACACGGUCCAGACUCCUACGGGAGGCAGCAGUAGGGAAUCUUCCGCAAUGGGCGAAAGCCUGACGGAGCAACGCCGCGUGAGUGAUGAAGGUCUUCGGAUCGUAAAACUCUGUUAUUAGGGAAGAACAAAUGUGUAAGUAACUAUGCACGUCUUGACGGUACCUAAUCAGAAAGCCACGGCUAGCUACGUG